UCUCGUAUUUUUCCCAUUAUUGAUUUCUCAUGUUCUUAUUUUGCAAUGCCUUAGCUGUAAAUGAUGAAGCAAUCCAAUUAUAUACAUGAAUUUGUGUCACUUGAAGCGAACCUACAUGACCCACCAAGAGACCGCGGGCUUAUAUAUUCUAGGAUUUUCUUUCUUAUAAUUAUUUGAGCGCUCAUCUCUGGUCUUUUUCGUAUUUUUUCCAGCAUUAAUUUCUCAUGUUCUUAUUUUGCAAUGCCUUAGCUGUUAUUAUAUUAAAGUAUUAUUUAUCUACAUAUGAGUAUUACUGUAAAUGUGUGCCAUUCGAAAGAAGUAUGUGCUCAUAUGUAAACAAGACCUGACAACAACAAUUUAAACUCCAUGGACCCAACUCCAAACACUCAGGAGGAACCAAACUGGUCAAAUGAUGAAACAGUGCGUUUGGUUAACAUCAUGGCAUAAAAACAAUGUAUAGUAAAGGGACGGUUUCACGCUUCCCUGACCCAUGCAGAUAAGAAACCUGCAUGGGAAGACCUUAUGAACUCUGUAAAUGCAUGCCUGCAAUUUACAUGUGAAAAGAACUGAAGAACAAGUUGUAAACUUGUCAAGUGCUGUCCCACUCACGGAAGAAGAUUGCCAAUAUCAACAAAGAGCAGAAUCAAUCAGAACGACUGUACGAGCUCCGCAAGACAAGCCUGGCCCGGGUGAUCUGCGACGACAGUGAACGCAAGCUACGGUACGUCCAGCCCAAAGUAAUGCUGGAGGCCGACUCUUUCCUAUGAAAAAGGAGCCACUGAGGUGCUGGUCCUUAACCACAAAUUAAAAUAACAAGAAGAAGCAUCGGCCAAGAAGAGAUUACGCGUGGAAAGAGGAAGGAUUGGGGCUCGGCUCACGGCAACAGCACCCGUGUGUGCGUUCUUGGGCCGUUCCGGAUCUGUGGACUUCCGGCGAGCAAAUCCCUUCUUUUAAAGCUGGGUGUUGACUGACCUCUGACAACCUGACUGGUGGUGAGUCCAUUCCAGACUAUUCCAGUCACCCACCACUCUUUUUGACAACCAAUUCCUCCAUACCUAACUGUCACAAGCCUCACUCCACUACCACACAGGGUCAAGCAGAGGUCACUACGAGGGUAAAGGUCAAUUUUAAGGCCGUAUAAUUUCAAAGUAUAAUCACGGAGUACCACAAUAAAAAUACAAACACAAUCUCUUCAAAUCAUAAUGGAUGAACAAACUCACACACACACACACACACACACACACACACACACACAAGCCAGACAUGAACACCACCACCACUGGUCAUUGCUUGUUUGAGAGCAGAGAUAAAAUACUGGACAACUUCUUGACUUGGUAAUGCUGUGUCCACCAUCUGAGGUCCAUUCCUGCAGUCACUGACAGCUGCACUCAGCUAAGUGGAGGAAAGGAAAGUCUGAGUGUGAUGCAGGUGGUGGUGGUGGUGGUGGUGGUGGUGGUGGUGUGGUGUGGUGUGGUAUAUUGGUGUUGAUAGAUGAAAAGAAUUAAAGUCAAAGGAAAUUAUCAGAAAAAAUAAGAGAAGAAGAGAAUGUGGAAGAUCUGAGAGACACAACAAGCACAACAGACCAUUCAGGGCAAGACAGAACAAAAGGUGUUUUACUGACUAUACAACAAGCAUGACAGACACAGGACAAUGGAGGACAGGCAAGUCUACCCCUUGAAGCACAGCAACGCAGAACAAGGAAAAAAAAGCACAACAGCUUCUCAGUCAGGACAAAACAGAAGAACAGCACACCAUUUCUUCCUCUGUGCCAGAAAACAUUGUAAAGCAGCCACGUUUCAGACCAGGCCAGGCACAGAUGUACUGAACCAAUAGCAAACCACAGACACACACAAGCCAACUAACACACAAACACACAAACAUAUAUUAUUUAGAGCCAUGCACAUAAACAAACACAAAUAUUAAGUUAUGUUGCUUGAAUUUUUUUUUUUUUAGGCAUGCAAUAAAAUUAUUAAAGAUGCUGUUUGCAAAAUACUAAGCACAAUGUAACUAUACACAAAAAUUUAUGAUGCAUUGGUUAAGACCUGUAGUGUGUGUGUGUGUGUGUGUGUGUGUGUGUGUGUGUGUGUGUGUGUGUGUGUGUGUGUGUGUUUGUAAUUACUUUGAAUAUAACUUUAUGUCAAACUUCAUUGAAUUCACCAAAUAAAUAAAUAUUCAUAAAAUAUCAAA